AGCUAGUUGGUGAGGUAACGGCCCACCAAGGCAACGAUCGGUAGCCGGACUGAGAGGUUGAACGGCCACAUUGGGACUGAGACACGGCCCAGACUCCUACGGGAGGCAGCAGUGGGGAAUAUUGCACAAUGGGGGAAACCCUGAUGCAGCGACGCCGCGUGGAGGAAGAAGGUCUUCGGAUUGUAAACUCCUGUUGUUGGGGAAGAUAAUGACGGUACCCAACAAGGAGUGACGGCUAACUACGUGCCAGCAGCCGCGGUAAAACGUAGGUCACAAGCGUUGUCCGGAAUUACUGGGUGUAAAGGGAGCGCAGGCGGGAAGACAAGUUGGAAGUGAAAUCUAUGGGCUCAACCCAUAAACUGCUUUCAAAACUGUUUUUCUUGAGUAGUGCAGAGGUAGGCGGAAUUCCCGGUGUAGCGGUGGAAUGCGUAGAUAUCGGGAGGAACACCAGUGGCGAAGGCGGCCUACUGGGCACCAACUGACGCUGAGGCUCGAAAGUGUGGGUAGCAAACAGGAUUAGAUACCCUGGUAGUCCACACCGUAAACGAUGAUUACUAGGUGUUGGAGGAUUGACCCCUUCAGUGCCGCAGUUAACACAAUAAGUAAUCCACCUGGGGAGUACGACCGCAAGGUUGAAACUCAAAGGAAUUGACGGGGGCCCGCACAAGCAGUGGAGUAUGUGGUUUAAUUCGACGCAACGCGAAGAACCUUACCAAGUCUUGACAUCCCUUGACAGGCAUAGAAAUAUGUUUUCUCUUCGGAGCAAGGAGACAGGUGGUGCAUGGUUGUCGUCAGCUCGUGUCGUGAGAUGUUGGGCUAAGUCCCGCAACGAGCGCAACCCUUAUGGUCAGUUACUACGCAAGAGGACUCUGGCCAGACUGCCGUUGACAAAACGGAGGAAGGUGGGGAUGACGUCAAAUCAUCAUGCCCUUUAUGACUUGGGCUACACACGUACUACAAUGGCGUUAAACAAAGAGAAGCAAGACCGCGAGGUGGAGCAAAACUCAGAAACAACGUCCCAGUUCGGACUGCAGGCUGCAACUCGCCUGCACGAAGUCGGAAUUGCUAGUAAUCGUGGAUCAGCAUGCCACGGUGAAUACGUUCCCGGGCCUUGUACACACCGCCCGUCACACCAUGAGAGCCGGGGGGACCCGAAGUCGGUAGUUUAACCGCAAGGAGGACGCCGCCGAAGGUAAAACUGGUGAUUGGGGUGAAGUCGUAACAAGGUAGCCGUAGGAGAACCUGCGGCUG
rnacentral:rRNA from 1 species